rnacentral:rRNA from 1 species
UACGAAGGGGGCUAGCGUUGCUCGGAAUUACUGGGCGUAAAGGGAGCGUAGGCGGACAUUUAAGUCAGAGGUGAAAUCCCGGAGCUCAACUUCGGAACUGCCUUUGAUACUGGGUGUCUUGAGUAUGAUAGAGGUAUGUGGAACUCCGAGUGUAAGAGGUGAAAUUCGUAGAUAUUCGGAAGAAACACCAGUGGCGAAGGCGACAUACUGGAUCAUUUCUGACGCUCAGGCGGCGACAGCGUGGGGA